UCUGGCUGCAUCCCGAGCUUCAGGUCUCGUCUUCACUGGUCUGUGGCCUAUUCUCCUGGAACCCCAGCCUCUGUGGCCCUGUGACCUGCAGGUAUUGGGAGAUCCACAGCUAAAACCCCAGGACCCCCUGGAAGCCUAGAAAUGUUCUUCAGAAGAUCAGUAAAAUCAAACUUCUCCGAGCUAAAGGAGGAUGUUCGCAUCCAUCACAAAGAAGCUGGAAACCUUGAAAAAAGAUUAGAUGAAUGGCUAACUACAAUGGACAGUGUAGAGAAGACCUUAAAUGACCUGAUAGAGCUGAAAACCAUGGCCCAAGAACUACGUGAUGAAUGCAGAAGCUUGAGAAACCAAUGUCAUCAACUGGAAGAAAAAAUAUCAGUGAUUGUUAAAAGGAAUGAAAUGAAGCAAGAAGAGAAGUUUACAGAUAAAAGAAUAAAAAGAAAUGAACAAAGCCUCCAAGAAAUAUGGGACUAUGUGAAAAGACCAAAUCUACGUCUGAUUGGUGUACCUGAAAGUGAUGGGGAGAAUGGAACCAAGUUGGAAAACACUGCAGGAUAUUAUCCAGGAGAACUUCCCCAAUCUAGCAAGGCAGGCCAACAUUCAAAUUCAGGAAAUACAG
rnacentral:antisense_RNA from 1 species